AGUGAACGCUGGCGGUAGGCCUAACACAUGCAAGUCGAACGGCAGCACAGUAAGAGCUUGCUCUUACGGGUGGCGAGUGGCGGACGGGUGAGGAAUACAUCGGAAUCUACUUUUUCGUGGGGGAUAACGUAGGGAAACUUACGCUAAUACCGCAUACGACCUACGGGUGAAAGCAGGGGAUCUUCGGACCUUGCGCGAUUGAAUGAGCCGAUGUCGGAUUAGCUAGUUGGCGGGGUAAAGGCCCACCAAGGCGACGAUCCGUAGCUGGUCUGAGAGGAUGAUCAGCCACACUGGAGCUGAGACACGGUCCAGGCUCCUACGGGAGGCAGCAGUGGGGAAUAUUGGACAAUGGGCGCAAGCCUGAUCCAGCCAUACCGCGUGGGUGAAGAAGGCCUUCGGGUUGUAAAGCCCUUUUGUUGGGAAAGAAAAGCAGCAGGUUAAUACCCCGCUGUUCUGACGGUACCCAAAGAAUAAGCACCGGCUAACUUCGU
rnacentral:rRNA from 1 species